rnacentral:piRNA from 1 species
UUAUAUUCUGUAAAUAAACAUUG